CCGCCUCAGAUUAGUAAUUUCAAACAUCAUGUAGAGUCAGAGACUCGGAGUGCAUAUGCCGUAUGGGUUCACUUAACGAGUGGGGCUUGUUACAUGGGCCUCCCGUCGUCAUGUGAUGGUGUCCAGGUUUGUUUUUUUCAUUUUUCUUUUUACAAAUACAAUGUAUACACUAUAUUAUAUAGUAUAUAUAUUACUUGCCACUGGUUUUGUAGGGUAUGCCGGUGCAUACCCGACAUAGCUUGUGGCUACGCCACUGCCUCAAGUAUCAUAUAAUGAAAAGAUCUCAAGGGAUUAAGCUUAAAUCCCAUGUUGAACUACCAGACCAUGAGGAGCUUUUUAUUAAAAAGAUACCAAAAGAGUUAAUAGUUGUUUUAAGUGAUGGGUGGUUAGAGGAGUCAGAGCUUUCACCUAAAAUAAUCUGGUUAGAUACACCCUCUGUCAUUAUUCAAUAUCAACUCAAUAGUGCUCCUUCUG
rnacentral:lncRNA from 1 species